rnacentral:tmRNA from 1 species
GGGGACGACAGGCUUCGACGUGGUCGGACCGUGCGGAGGGUUGCAGGUCGAGGAUGUCGAUGGCCUCGUAAAAAAUCGGCAAAAAACCAUAUACGGCGACGAACACUCGUACGCCCUCGCCGCCUAGCUGAUACCUAGGUAAC